UGAGGAAUAUUGGACAAUGGGCGCAAGCCUGAUCCAGCAAUGCCGCGUGCAGGAUGAAGGCCUUCGGGUUGUAAACUGCUUUUGUACGGAGCGAAAAGGUCUGCCCUAAUACGGUGGGCUCAUGACGGUACCGUAAGAAUAAGCACCGGCUAACUACGUGCCAGCAGCCGCGGUAAUACGUAGGGUGCGAGCGUUAAUCGGAAUUACUGGGCGUAAAGCGUGCGCAGGCGGUUAUAUAAGACAGAUGUGAAAUCCCCGGGCUCAACCUGGGACCUGCAUUUGUGACUGUAUAGCUGGAGUGCGGUAGAGGGGGAUGGAAUUCCGCGUGUAGCAGUGAAAUGCGUAGAUAUGCGGAGGAACACCGAUGGCGAAGGCAAUCCCCUGGACAUGUACUGACGCGCAUGCACGAAAGCGUGGGGAGCAAA
rnacentral:rRNA from 1 species